rnacentral:lncRNA from 1 species
GGGUUUCUUUCUAAUCAAAAGCCUUUGUGUUUUUCUGUUUUUAAAUUUAGAAAGCGUUGGACCCUGGCUGGCUAUUAUAAAGAUGUUACAAGCUAAUGCUGAGGCACAACAACAACAUAAAAAAGAAGGGGGAGAGAAGUAUUGCAUAAAAAGAGAUGAAGAAAUCCAGGUGGCGUAUGUUCAACCCGGUGAAUUUCUUAAUUCAGUCCAACUCAGUGCAGGAGGUGUGACCAUUGCUGUUCCUGCAUCCCAGAAGCACCUACAUGGAAGUAAAGUUCCUAGAGAAAGCACUGGAGAGAAAGAAGUAUCCAGUUGUCUGCCGAGGUGACAGGAUGAUGACAUGAUAGGACAGGUGAUUGAGAAGAUUCCAG